AAGCAUUGCUGACGGCUGUGUUACUGGUGUGUAAAACCAACAGGGAGCUGAAUGCUGAAAGCUCACAGAAGCCCUGCAGAGCUCAGCAACCCAGGGUAAAACAGUCUGUCUGUCCUUUAAAUGCACAGUGAAGUGUCAUUUCACAUCAAAUCUUUGUCCAGUGGCAGGGUAAUGUGAUGUUCACUGAAAGGAUAAGAAGGCUUGACAAGCUUCAGAUCACCAAAAUGGUUCAGACAUCUUCUGGCAACGGUAGUCAUGGAACUAUCUGCUUCUUACUAAAGAUGUGACAGAGUUGAGGAAGCCAGCGGGAUUCUGCUCAUGAUGCUUCCUAAAGUUGUAGUGGUCUGGCUCCUGAGGUGAGGAGGAUGGAAUGGAAAACGCACUGG